rnacentral:rRNA from 1 species
GACGAACGCUGGCGGCGUGCUUAACACAUGCAAGUCGAACGAAGAGCGAUGGAAGCUUGCUUCUAUCAAUCUUAGUGGCGAACGGGUGAGUAACGCGUAAUCAACCUGCCCUUCAGAGGGGGACAACAGUUGGAAACGACUGCUAAUACCGCAUACGAUCCAAUCUCGGCAUCGGGACUGGAUGAAAGGUGGCCUCUAUUUAUAAGCUAUCACUGAAGGAGGGGAUUGCGUCUGAUUAGCUAGUUGGAGGGGUAACGGCCCACCAAGGCGAUGAUCAGUAGCCGGUCUGAGAGGAUGAACGGCCACAUUGGGACUGAGACACGGCCCAGACUCCUACGGGAGGCAGCAGUGGGGAAUCUUCCGCAAUGGACGAAAGUCUGACGGAGCAACGCCGCGUGAGUGAUGACGGCCUUCGGGUUGUAAAGCUCUGUUAAUCGGGACGAAUGGUUCUUGUGCGAAUAGUGCGAGGAUUUGACGGUACCGGAAUAGAAAGCCACGGCUAACUACGU